CUCCGAAGACCCACGACCUCUUCUCCAUCCGUGGAUUGAUUUGUUCUGCUUAACAGCUGGGUCGCCAAGCUGGAGGUGGAAUCAGAGGUUUCUGGCUGACUCGGUGGGUGCUUUGAACCAGGAAAGGACAAGAAAGAGGAUGGGAAGGACUGAUCCACAUUCCUACCAGGAAGUUUAACGGAACCCCCGCGUGCCACCUGGACCCCCUGGAAGGACCUGGCUAAGGCUGGACCACCUCUUGAGAGGCAGGAGCUCCGGAUUUGAUCAAGAAUUCUUUGCUGAGCAUGGUGCCUCAUGCCUAUAAUCCCAACACUUUGGGAGGCCAAUGUGGGAGGAUCUCUUGAGCCCAGGAGUUCAAGACUAGCCUGGGCAACACAGAGAGACCCCAUCUCUAAAAAAAUAAUAAUAAUAAAAUAAAAAAUUAGCAGGGCAUGGUGGCAUGUGCCUGUAGUCCCAGCUACCCAGGAGGCUGAGGCAAGAGGAUGGCUGGAGCCUGGGAUGUUGAGGCUGCAAUGAACUGUGAUUACCCCACUGCACUCCAGCCUGGGCAAAAGAGCGAGAGACCCUGUCUCAAAUAAUAAUAAUACUAAUCAUCAUCAUCAUCAUCAUCAUCAUCAUCUUAUUUUGGAGAAUAAAGAGACCUCUGGAUUUGAGGUGCCAUUUGGGUAGAAAGAAAAGACCUUUACACCGAGAAAUAGUCUGUGUUGACCUGAAGGAGCAGAGGAAUGCAUCGCUGGAGGUGACCUACAGUUGAAGAAGACUCAUUAUGACAGACCUUGUCCUUCUUCCUUGUGGAAAGUGUUUCCUCUGCUGCUACUGCUCAUGAGACUCUUCCCCCUCCCUGUCCCAGGGAACCAAAGGGCUUUCUACCACACCCUUUCUUGCCCCCCGCCUCCCAUGUCUGCUGUGCCUUUGUACUCAGCAAUUCUUGUUUGCUCCAUUAUCUUCCAGCCGGAUACAGAGUGAAUAGUUAACCACACUUAGGUCAAAUAGGAUCUAAAUUUUUGUUCCUGCUCCGUGUAAAGAGGCCAGUGUUUGUGUGUUGCAAGCAGCCUUGGAAUAGUAACUCUUCUCAUUUGUUUGGGAUCUGGCCACCAAGUUCCAGAAUGAUACACGGAUCAGUGCAGAAGUUCAUCAGGCUCUCGGACCUUAGGGCUGUUGGAGAAGGCUUCAGCAGCAGAACUGAUGGUGAAGGCUCGUGUUCUCCAUCCUCAACUUUCUUUGCUUGGAUCAUACACAAGAAUACAUUUGGAAGGGCAAAAAAUGAACACUGUUGUUCAUUGCAGCCGUGUUUUGUGACACAGAUGCACAGUCUGCUGUGAAGACCUUCUCUCAAGUGGCAGUUGGGAGUCCAUGCCAGAUCAUGGUGCUUCAUGAGAGGCUAACAGCUAUCAGGGGUUGUGGCACUUAGUGAGGACUCUCCUCCCCCAGUGUGUGCUGAUGACACACACACACCUGACAAUAGCUUGAGUCUUCUCUGUUCCUUUUACUCUGUAGCCACCAUACACAUGAUUUAAAACCCUUUCUAAAUAUCUAUCAUGGUUCAUCCUUGUCCAAAUGCAGAGUCAGAGCUAUUUGUACUUCAUUAUUAUUUCCAAGGCAAAUAGAUGGCUUUCUUUUUGCAAAAAUAAUUAAAGUUUUUUGUAUGUUGCA
rnacentral:lncRNA from 1 species